rnacentral:rRNA from 1 species
AUUGAACGCUGGCGGCAGGCCUAACACAUGCAAGUCGAACGAGCGGCGGACGGUUGAGUAAUGUCUGGGAAACUUCCUGAUGGAGUGGGAUAACUCCUGGAAACGGUAGCUAAUACCGCAUACCAUCAGAUGUGCCCAGGGGGGAGUAGCUAGUCGGUGGGGUAACGGCUCACCUAGGCGACGAUGCCUAGCUGGUCUGAGAGGAUGACCAGUCACACGGGAACUGAGACACGGUCCAGACGCCUACGGGAGGCAGCAGGGGGGAAUAUGGCACAAUGGGCGAAAGCCUGAUGCAGCCAUGCCGCGUGUGUGAAGAAGGCCUUAGGGUUGUAAAGCACUUUCAGCGGGGAGGCGUUAGCCGCAGAAGAAGCACCGGCUAACUCCGUGCCAGCAGCCGCGGUAAUAC